UCUUCUGUAGCUCAGUGGUAGAGAAACUGACCAGUGUUCGGAAGGUCAUGGGUUCAAUUCCUGUUGGGGGAA